rnacentral:rRNA from 1 species
UACGGAGGGUGCAAGCGUUAUCCGGAAUCACUGGGCGUAAAGGGCGCGUAGGCGGUCUGUUAAGUCUGGCGUUAAAGCCUGGGGCUCAACCCCAGAUCAGCGUUGGAUACUGGCAGGCUAGACGGUUGGAGAGGCGAGUGGAAUUACCAGUGUAGCGGUGGAAUGCGUAGAUACUGGUAGGAACACCCAUUGCGAAGGCAGCUCGCUGGACAACACGUGACACUGAGGCGCGAAAGUGUGGGGAGCAAACCGGAUUAGAUACCCCCGUAGU